GGCAACGUGGCCGAGCGGUUAAGGCGCUGUGUUCAGGAUCUUCGCAGUUCGAAAGAGCGCGCGUUCGAAUCGCGCCGUUGUCA